AGAGUUUGAUCCUGGCUCAGGAUGAACGCUGGCGGCGUGCCUAACACAUGCAAGUCGAGCGAUCUUCUUCGGAAGAGAGCGGCGGACGGGUGAGUAACGCGUGGGUAACCUGCCCUGUACACACGGAUAACAUACCGAAAGGUAUGCUAAUACGAGAUAAUAUGCUUUUAUCGCAUGGUAGAAGUAUCAAAGCUUUUGCGGUACAGGAUGGACCCGCGUCUGAUUAGCUAGUUGGUAAGGUAACGGCUUACCAAGGCGACGAUCAGUAGCCGACCUGAGAGGGUGAUCGGCCACAUUGGAACUGAGACACGGUCCAAACUCCUACGGGAGGCAGCAGUGGGGAAUAUUGCACAAUGGGCGAAAGCCUGAUGCAGCAACGCCGCGUGAGCGAUGAAGGCCUUCGGGUCGUAAAGCUCUGUCCUCAAGGAAGAUAAUGACGGUACUUGAGGAGGAAGCCCCGGCUAACUACGUGCCAGCAGCCGCGGUAAUACGUAGGGGGCUAGCGUUAUCCGAAUUUACUGGACGUAAAGGGUGCGUAGGUGGUUUCUUAAGUCAGGAGUGAAAGGCUACGGCUCAACCGUAGUAAGCUCUUGAAACUGGGAAACUUGAGUGCAGGAGAGGAAAGUGGAAUUCCUAGUGUAGCGGUGAAAUGCGUAGAUAUUAGGAGGAACACCAGUAGCGAAGGCGGCUUUCUGGACUGUAACUGACACUGAGGCACGAAAGCGUGGGGAGCAAACAGGAUUAGAUACCCUGGUAGUCCACGCCGUAAACGAUGAGUACUAGGUGUCGGGGGUUACCCCCCUCGGUGCCGCAGCUAACGCAUUAAGUACUCCGCCUGGGGAGUACGCUCGCAAGAGUGAAACUCAAAUGAAUUGACGG
rnacentral:rRNA from 1 species